GCUUGACUGUAGCUUGUAAUUGGGUUCGGGCUUUUUUUGCGCAGCCUAGGUGGGAGGCAACGAUGAUUUUUUUCCGGAAAAAUUUGAGCCGUUAGUGAGAGACCACUCUGAAAAGGCUAGAAUCCUAAUAAUGAUCCUUGAAUCAGGACAUUUGACAGUUGCAGGUGGGCAGUUUUACUGGGGCGGUAUUCUCCUAAAAAGUAACGGAGGGGUGCAAAGGUUCCCUCAGCUGGACGGAAAUCAGCUUAAGAGUGUAAAGGCAAAAGGGAGCUUGACUGCAAGACCUACAAGUCGAGCAGGGGCGAAAGCCGGCCUUAGUGAUCCGACGGUACCACGUGGAAGGGCCGUCGCUCAACGGAUAAAAGUUA
rnacentral:rRNA from 1 species